UAUAGUUGUUAAAGUAGGAUCUUGUCCAUGUUGUUCAAGUGAUUGCCCCAAAAUAAACAGCUGUUGAAAAUGUCAACUUUGUAAUAAAAGAUAUGCACAUUAUCAAAAUAUCCCAAGGGACAAACCAUUUAGCCCCAUAAUAACUCAUAAUAGCCCAACAGCAUGGGACAUCAAUUUACUAGGGAAAAAGAGAGAAGGGAAUGGAGGAAAAUAAGAAAUCACAUAAAUAUAUCUCAAUGUCUAAAUAAAUCAUUUCCCACUUCAUAUUUAAAAGCUUCAUUGAAUUAUCCAUAAGAAAAGAAGAAAGUACUUUCUUUUAAAAAAAUACAAAAGAAAUUCAGAAUUUGACUUUGACCAUCUAUUUCUUCUGAGCCGCAAUAUCAACAUAAAUUAAAAUUUGUAUUUUAUAUAUAGAUAAUUGGAGGGGAAAUAGUCUCAAAAUUUCCUAAUCAGGGUUUGUGCUCAUUAAGCCCUGCUUGCUAAUUGUUUAGAGAAAAAGAGAAGAAAAUUUAGGUCUGUGGGAAUGAAGAACAUUCCAUGAUGUGGCAUUGCAUGACGAGCUUAACUAAUAGUAUUUUCAACUAAGUAAAACAAAGACUUGUAGUUAGUAUUUGUGUACCUAAUUCAUAGAUUUCAAUUAUAUUCCAAAAAUAAUCCAUUCAUUGUAAAUCAGUUUCAGUAAAUAAAAAAUGGUUUUAUUUUCUUCAGGUUGAACAACUGAAUGUCAAAUCAAGAGUUAAUGAUAAUAAGUAGAAGAUCAGGAUCAGACCCACAAAUCUGAAACUAGUAGAAGCAUACUCUCUACUAAUAUUAAAUUAGCUGGUGGAGAAAUCAGUGUCGUUUCUUCAAGCAAUUUGAUUACAUUCUGUGUGAAAGAAGAUAGAUGACAGAGAGGCAGACCUACAUUUUCAGCUCUCAAAUUCUAUUACCAAAGAAAUGUCUAAAUUUAUCCUGUUUUCUAUCACUACUCUUCUGCCAAGCAAUAAUCCUGUUUUAUAUCACAUGUAGACCCUGCUUAACUAUGGUAAUUGGGAUCAGAAUGUGUAUUGCUCAGUGAUGCAGUAACGUGAAUUACCAUGGGACAUUAAAUGAGAACUCCACAUAAUUGUGACUUCUGACUUCUUGUACGUUUUCCUAUCGAUUUUACUUAUGGGAAGCCUGUAUAGAAGGUAACAAAUUACAGAACCCUGCAAAGUUCAGAAAUCUGGACUGGUUUCUGAAAACUCAAAUCCCAAUCACAUGACUGUAAAAUCACUGUGGUAGCUGCACCUUUGAUGAAGCCAUAAAUACCAUUUAUUUAGUGCACUCCAAGUGUGAAUGGUUGCUGAACAAGUUGUUGUUAACUAAGGAACCACCUAUAGAGAUUUACAAUGCUACUUGAAUGCUCAAGAGGACAAAGAGGUUUAUAGUGCUAGCAAGAUGCAAUGAAAAGCAGCUUCUACAAAAAAGUAUUUCUAGACAAGGAAGUAAUCAUGGGAAAUAUGCAUAAAUAUAUAAAUGUUUCUGAAGAGGUAACACAGAUAGCUUUCAAAAUUAAAUUUUGUUUAUGCAUUUACCUGACUUUAUAU